UGGUAGUCCUAGCCCUAAGCCAUCGGAACUUGGGGUGGCCCGCGUAGGCGGGUCGUCCCGUAGCUAACGCGUUAAGUUCCCGCGCCUGGGGAGUAACGGUCGCAAGACUGAAACUCAAAGGAAUUGACGGGGGCCCGCACAAGCGGUGGAACAUGUGGUUCAAUUCGACGCAACGCGAAGAACCUUACCUGGGCUUGACCGCUACUGACCAACGGUAGAAAUAUCGUCUUCCCGCAAGGGACAGUAGUAGAGGUGCUGCAUGGCUGUCGUCAGCUCGUGCCGUGAGGUGUUGGGUUAAGUCCCGCAACGAGCGCAACCCUUACUCGUAGUUGCUACCCGCAAGGGAGAACUCUACGAGGACUGCUCCGGAUAACGGAGAGGAAGGUGGGGAUGACGUCAAGUCAGCACGGCCUUUAUGUCCAGGGCUACACACGUGUUACAAUGCAUGGUACAGACUGUUGCGAACCCGCGAGGGGGAGCUAAUCGGACAAAACCAUGCUCAGUUCGGAUUGCAGUCUGCAACUCGGCUGCAUGAAGCUGGAAUCGCUAGUAAUGGCGCAUCAGAUCGGCGCCGUGAAUACGUUCCCGGGCCUUGUACACACCGCCCGUCACAUCACGAAAGUGAGCUGUACUAGAAGUCGCGCAGCUAACCGCAAGGAAGCACGCGCCCAAGGUAUGGCCCAUGAUUGGGGUGAAGUCGUAACAAGGUAAC
rnacentral:rRNA from 1 species